CCUACGGGUGGCAGCAGUGAGGAAUAUUGGUCAAUGGGCGCGAGCCUGAACCAGCAAAGUCGCGUGAAGGAUGACUGCCCUACGGGUUGUAAACUUCUUUUAUAAAGGAAUAAAGUGAGGCAAGUGUGUCUUUUUGUAUGUACUUUAUGAAUAAGGAACGGCUCACUCCGUGCCAGCAGCCGCGGUAAUACGGAGGAUCCGAGCGUUAUCCGGUGUUAUUGGGUUUAAAGGGAGCGUAGAUGGGUUGUUAAGUCAGUUGUGAAAGUUUGCGGCUCAACCGUAAAAUUGCAAUUGAUACUGUCAGUCUUGAGUACAGUUGAGGUAGGUGGAAUUCGAGGUGUAGCGGUGAAAUGCUUAGAUAUCACGAAGAACUCCGAUUGCGAAGGCAGCUUACUAAACUGCCACUGACAUUGAUGCUCGAAAGUGUGGGUAGCAAACAGGAUUAGAUACCCGUGUAGUC
rnacentral:rRNA from 1 species